GGGCCCGCACAAGUGGUGGAGCAUGUGGUUUAAUUCGAUGCAACGCGAAGAACCUUACCAACCCUUGAAAUCUAGCGAAGUUCACAGAGAUGAGAAUGUGCCUUCGGGAACGCUAUGACAGGUGUUGCAUGGCUGUCGUCAGCUCGUGUCGUGAGAUGUAUGGUUAAGUCCAGUAACGAGCGCAACCCCUAUCCUUAUUUGCCAGCGCGUUAAGGCGGGAACUAUAGGGAGACUGCCGGGUGAAACCCGGAGGAAGGCGGGGACGAGGUCAAGUCAUCAUGGCCCUUAUGGGUUGGGCUACACACGUGCUACAAUGGGAAGUACAGAGGGAUGCGAAAGCGCGAGCUGGAGCCAAACCCUUAAAACUUUUCUUAGUCCGGAUUGGAGUCUGCAACUCGACUCCAUGAAGUCGGAAUCACUAGUAAUCG
rnacentral:rRNA from 1 species